GCCGAAGUGGCGGAACUGGCAGACGCGCAGCGUUGAGGGCGCUGUGGGCCUUGGCCUGUGAGGGUUCGAAUCCCUCCUUCGGCA
rfam:Halanaerobium saccharolyticum subsp. saccharolyticum DSM 6643, type strain:DSM 6643, WGS project CATI01000000 data, contig: c14